rnacentral:rRNA from 1 species
AGAGUUUGAUCCUGGCUCAGAUUGAACGCUGGCGGCAGGCCUAACACAUGCAAGUCGAGCGAGAAAGCACUUCGGUGUGAGUACAGCGGCGGACGGGUGAGUAACGCGUAGGAAUCUACCUAGUAGUGGGGGACAACAUGUGGAAACGCAUGCUAAUACCGCAUACGCCCUAUGGGGGAAAGCAGGGGAUCUUCGGACCUUGCGCUAUUGGAUGAGCCUGCGUCAGAUUAGCUAGUUGGUGGGGUAAUGGCCUACCAAGGCAACGAUCUGUAGCUGGUCUGAGAGGAUGAUCAGCCACACCGGGACUGAGACACGGCCCAGACUCCUACGGGAGGCAGCAGUGGGGAAUAUUGGACAAUGGGCGAAAGCCUGAUCCAGCCAUGCCGCGUGUGUGAAGAAGGCUCUAGGGUCGUAAAGCACUUUCAGUAGGGAGGAAAAGUUAGUAGUUAAUAACUGCUAACCCUGACGUUACCUACAGAGGAAGCACCGGCAAACUCCGUGCCAGCAGCCGCGGUAAUACGGAGGGUGCGAGCGUUAAUCGGAAUUACUGGGCGUAAAGCGCGCGUAGGCGGUUUGAUAAGCUGGAUGUGAAAGCCCUGGGCUUAACCUGGGAACUGCAUCCAGAACUGUCUGACUAGAGUACAGUAGAGGUGAGUGGAAUUUCCUGUGUAGCGGUGAAAUGCGUA